AUUGAACGCUGGCGGCAUGCCUUACACAUGCAAGUCGAACGGCAGCGCGGGAGCAAUCCUGGCGGCGAGUGGCGAACGGGUGAGUAAUAUAUCGGAACGUGCCCUGUAGCGGGGGAUAGCCCGGCGAAAGCCGGAUUAAUACCGCAUACGCUCUACGGAGGAAAGCGGGGGUCGCAAGACCUCGCACUAUAGGAGCGGCCGAUAUCGGAUUAGCUAGUUGGCGGGGUAAAAGCCCACCAAGGCUACGAUCCGUAGCUGGUCUGAGAGGAUGAUCAGCCACACUGGAACUGAGACACGGUCCAGACUCCUACGGGAGGCAGCAGUGGGGAAUUUUUGGACAAUGUGCGCAAGCCUGAUCCAGCCAUGCCGCGUGAGUGAAGAAGGCC
rnacentral:rRNA from 1 species